GAUGAACGCUAGCGACAGGCCUAACACAUGCAAGUCGAGGGGCAGCAUAGAGGUAGCAAUACUUUGGUGGCGACCGGCGCACGGGUGAGUAACACGUAUGCAACCUACCUGUAAGAGGGGAAUAACCCGGAGAAAUUCGGACUAAUACCGCACAAAACCACGAAUUCGCAUGGAUUUGUGUUUAAACAUUUAUGGCUUACAGAUGGGCAUGCGUAUGAUUAGCUAGUUGGUAGGGUAACGGCCUACCAAGGCAACGAUCAUUAGGGGUUCUGAGAGGAAGGUCCCCCACACUGGUACUGAGACACGGACCAGACUCCUACGGGAGGCAGCAGUGAGGAAUAUUGGUCAAUGGGCGAGAGCCUGAACCAGCCAAGUCGCGUGAAGGAAGAAGGUUCUAUGGAUUGUAAACUUCUUUUGUAAGGGAAUAAAAAGAGUUACGUGUAACUUAUUGUAUGUACUUUACGAAUAAGGAUCGGCUAACUCCGUGCCAGCAGCCGCCGUAACAC
rnacentral:rRNA from 1 species